UAGGAAUCUCCACAAUGACGCAAGUCUGAUGGAGCAACGCCGCGUGAGUGAAGAAGGUUUUCGGACCGUAAAGCUCUGUUGUUGGUGAAGAAGGAUAGAGGUAGUAACUGGCCUUUAUUUGACGGUAAUCAACCAGAAAGUCACGGCUAACUACGUGCCAGCAGCCGCGGUAAAUCGUAGGUGGCAAGCGUUGUCCGGAUUUAUUGGGCGUAAAGCGAGCGCAGGCGGAAGAAUAAGUCUGAUGUGAAAGCCCUCGGCUUAACCGAGGAAUUGCAUCGGAAACUGUUUUCUUGAGUGCAGAAGAGGAGAGUAGAACUCCAUGUGUAGCGGUGGAAUGCGUAGAUAUAUGGAAGAAUACCAGUGGCGAAGGCGGCUCUCUGGUCUGCAACUGACGCUGAGGCUCGAAAGCAUGGGUAGCGAACAGGAUUAGAUACCCUGGUAGUCCAUGCCGUAAACGAUGAGUGCUAAGUGUUGGGAGGCUUCCGCCUCUCAGUGCUGCAGCUAACGCAUUAAGCACUCCGCCUGGGGGAGUACGACCGCAAGGUUGAAAC
rnacentral:rRNA from 1 species